AACAGAAUAUAGGUUUAAAAAUGCCCUUAAAUAGUUUAUAGUAUUGUAAGUUUUAUUGUCUAAAACUUGUUUAAAGUGGGUGAGUCUGAGGUUAAAAAAGUGUCCCUUUUUCUAACUUGAUGGCACCACCGCUACUGAAAGGGGUGACUUAAAAUAUAAACAAAUACAAAUACAUUCACACAUUCCUGAAAACAUUAUUUACACCCUUGCAAUUAAUUAGUAAGCAUUAAUACAUGGUAAUGAGCCUCACUGCUAAGUAUAAUUAUGUUUACUUAUUACUAAUCUUAACCCUUCUCUUUCUGCUGAUGUUCCAGAAGAAGAUACCUUUUUCAUUUAGACCAGCUUUUUCUUCAAGGCUGCUGCAAGAACAGAAGCUCACCUUUCCCACAGAAAAACCCUUGGAUUAUGACCAGGAACAACAGAGAGCAGGCCCAGUCUUCCUGUAUCUACUCUUCAUUACCCAGCCACAACACCAAGGUGAUGACAGCCCACCCUCAAUCUACUCUCGUC
rnacentral:lncRNA from 1 species